CGAUUCAUCUAAUGACCUGAGUUUAACUCAACUGCCUCAUUUAAAGACUCUCUCUUCAAAGUAAAGUCACAUUCUGAGGGGAACAACAUCUGCCUGCCUGUGAAGAGCACUGAGGCAAUGUCAGCAGGAUUGACACAUGAUUGUAAUCCAUAAAAUACAAAUCGCAUAUAAAGACGAUUUCCUAGCCAUCAAUGACUGAUAUAGAAGACUAUGGCAACUCCAGAGUUAUCUUGCUGCAGAAUCAUAGCUCCAUCAUAGCUCCGUUUGUUAUAAUUGAAUCAAAAUAGUGAAGGCUGCUGUCAACACUCAUGCCACAGUGAGGCCAGUGACCCCAGGGUUUUCUGGAGGAGUACAGAACCUGAGCAGAAAGAGGCCAGAGUCAGAGCAACUCUACCUGCUGGAUGACAUCAGGUGUCCAGAGUAGGGCAAACAAGAGCCUGACAUGCCACAAGGCUGCCGGACCCUCCAGGAUCUGUGAUGGCCAUGCUUCUCUUCGAGCCAUGGAGAAAGGCUUAAAUCCUAUAUCCUCAAAACGCCAACAACCAAGGCUGAGUGUGAGUCUGGUUUAUAUUUCCACUUAAAAUGGAAUUUAAAAUUUGACACCUGCAUAUGGGGACUCUGCCAUUUGACUCUCCCGUGCUCACCUGGUCCAGUACACUGGUCACCUGGCCACAACACGGCACACGGCAGGCAAGGCAGCUACUUCCCUGUACAAGAAGGAGGCCUUUUUGGUGCUAAGUGCAUUGAGAGCUGUCAAACAGUCUUCAAUGAAGAUAAGGUUAACAAUGUGUAUUUCCAUAACGACGCAUUGCUGCUUAAAAUUUGCCUCCCAGGGGAGAAUUUCAAAAGUAGGUUUAUUUAGAGAGAUCUUUUCUGUGUGAAUAUAUUUCUUCUGCUGUAGAGGAAUAAUUACCCAAUGCAGCCGAAUGGAACUGCAGUGGGGAAAAAAUCAUCAGGAAAUCCAGAAUAGAGAUUUGCCAAGAAGGUCCCAGUCAGGGCAGGGGACUUCAUCUUAUUCUUACAGUGAGAAGAGGAGGAACAGAAAAGAGAUUUCAUGCUAAUGGAAUGGGACAAGAUGGUACUGUCCUGAGUGGCAUUAUCCUCAGGUCGGGCUGGGAAAAGGAUGUUCUUCAUUGUAGUCAGUUCAUUUAGAUUUUAAGCAUCUGCUAGACUCUGGAGAAAUGAACUCCCUCUUAAUCAUCACUAUCAAGAAGGAAUAAAUA
ensembl:lncRNA